rnacentral:rRNA from 1 species
GAAAGUAAGAUUAAUACCCGGCGGUCUCGGACGGCCGCAUGACUGUCCGAGUGAAGAUUUAUCGGUAUGAGAUGGCGAUGCGUCCCAUUAGCUUGUUGGUGAGGUAACGGCUCACCAAGGCAUCGAUGGGUAGGGGUUCUGAGAGGAAGGUCCCCCACAUUGGAACUGAGACACGGUCCAAACUCCUACGGGAGGCAGCAGUGAGGAAUAUCGGUCAAUGGACGAAAGUCUGAACCAGCCAAGUAGCGUGCAGGACGACGGCCCUCUGGGUUGUAAACUGCUUUUAGUUGGGAAUAAAAAGAGGGACGUGUCCCUUAUUGUAUGUACCAUCAGAAAAAGGACCGGCUAAUUCCGUGCCAGCAGCCGCGGUAAUACGGAAGGUCCAGGCGUUAUCCGGAUUUAUUGGGUUUAAAGGGAGCGCAGGCGGCGGCGUAAGUCAGUUGUGAAAUCGUGCGGCUUAACCGUGCAAUUGCAGUUGAUACUGCGUCGCUUGAGUGCACACAGGGAUGUUGGAAUUCAUGGUGUAGCGGUGAAAUGCUUAGAUAUCAUGAAGAACUCCGAUCGCGAAGGCAUAUGUCCGGAGUGCAACUGACGCUGAGGCUCGAAAGUGUGGGUAUCAAACAGGAUUAGAUACCCUGGUAGUCCACACAGUAAACGAUGAAUACUCGCGGUUGGUUCGUUAGAAUCAGCCGC